rnacentral:rRNA from 1 species
GACGAACGCUGGCGGCGUGCCUAAUACAUGCAAGUCGAGCGCAGGAAGCCGUCUGAACCCUUCGGGGGGACGACGGUGGAAUGAGCGGCGGACGGGUGAGUAACACGUAAAGAACCUGCCCAUAGGUCUGGGAUAACCACGAGAAAUCGGGGCUAAUACCGGAUGUGUCAUCGGACCGCAUGGUCCGCUGAUGAAAGGCGCUCCGGCGUCGCCCAUGGAUGGCUUUGCGGUGCAUUAGCUAGUUGGUGGGGUAACGGCCCACCAAGGCGACGAUGCAUAGCCGCCCUGGGAGGUUGAUCAGCCACACUGGGACUGGGACACGGCCCAGACUCCUACGGGGGGCAGCAGUAGGGAAUUUUCCACAAUGGACGAAAGUCUGAUGGAGCAACGCCGCGUGAACGAUGAAGGCUUUCGGGUCGUAAAGUUCUGUUGUAAGGGAAGAACAAGUGCCGCAGGCAAUGGCGGCACCUUGACGGUACCUUGCGGGAAAGCCACGGCUAACUACGUGCCAGCAGCAGCCGCCGUAA